AUUGAACGCUGGCGGAAUGCUUUACACAUGCAAGUCGAACGGCAGCACGGACUUCGGUCUGGUGGCGAGUGGCGAACGGGUGAGUAAUGUCUCGGAACGUGCCCAGUCGUGGGGGAUAACGUAGUGAAAAUUACGCUAAUACCGCAUACGAUCUAUGGAUGAAAGCGGGGGAUCGCAAGACCUCGCGCGAUUGGAGCGGCCGAUAUCAGAUUAGGUAGUUGGUGGGGUAAAGGCCCACCAAGCCAACGAUCUGUAGCUGGUCUGAGAGGACGACAAGCCAGACUGGAACUGAGACAGGGGCCAGACUCCUACGGGAGGCAGCAGGGGGGAAUUUUGGACAAUGGGCGAAAGCCUGAUCCAGCCAUUCCGCGUGCAGGAUGAAGGCCCUCGGGUUGUAAACUGCUUUUGUACAGAACGAAAAGGUUUCUACUAAUACUAGGAGCUCAUGACGGUACUGUAAGAAUAAGCACCGGCUAACUACGUGCCAGCAGCCGCCGUAA
rnacentral:rRNA from 1 species